rnacentral:misc_RNA from 1 species
GAUGAAGAACGUAGCGAAAUGCGAUACGUAAUGUGAAUUGCAGAAUUCAGUGAAUCAUCGAAUCUUUGAACGCAUAUUGCGCUCUCUGGUAUUCCGGAGAGCAUGCUUGUUUGAGUAUCAGUAAACACCUCAACUUCCAUAUCUUUUUUGAAAUGGGAGUUGGACUUGAGUGAUCCCAACGCUUUUCCUCACCGAAAAGUGGCGGGUUACUUGAAAUGCAGGUGCAGCUGGACUUUUCUCUGAGCUAUAAGCAUAUCUAUUUAGUCUGCCUAAAAAACAGAUUAUUACCUUUGCUGCAGCUAACAUAAAGGAGAUUAGUUCUUGUGCUGACUGAUGCAGGAUUCACAAAAACGGCUUCGGCCGACUUUGUAAACUCGAUCUCAAAUCAAGUAAGACUACCCGCUGAACUUAAGCAUAUCAAUAAGCGGAGGA